rnacentral:rRNA from 1 species
UUUGUAAAUCUCCAGAUAAAGCCUGAAGCUUAACUCCAGAAAGUCUGAAGAGACUGCAAGACUUGAGAUCGGGUGAGGUUAAACGUACUUUCAGGGUAGGGGUAAAAUCCUGUAAUCCCGGAAGGACGACCAGUGGCGAAAGCGUUUAACUAGAACGAAUCUGACGGUAAGGAACGAAGGCUAGGGUAGCAAACCGGAUUAGAUACCCGGGUAGUCCUAGCUGUAAACAUUGCCCAUUUGAUGUUGCUUUCCCGUUGAGGGAAGGCAGUGUCGGAGCGAAGGUGUUAAAUGGGCCGCUUGGGAAGUAUGGUCGCAAGACUGAAACUUAAAGGAAUUGGCGGGGGAGCACCGCAACGGGAGGAAUGUGCGGUUUAAUUGGAUUCAACGCCGGAAAACUCACCGGGAACGACCUGUGCAUGAGAGUCAACUUGACGAGCUUACUCGAUAGCAGGAGAGGUGGUGCAUGGCCGUCGUCAGCUCGUACCGUAGGGCGUUCACUUAAGUGUGAUAACGAGCGAGACCCACAUCCUUAAUUGCAAAUGUAUAUGGGAAUAUGCAUGCACUUUAGAGAAACCGCCAGCGCUAAGCUGGAGGAAGGAGUGGUCGACGGCAGGUCAGUACGCCCCGAAUUUCCCGGGCUACACGCGCAUUACAAAGAACGGGACAAUACGUUGCAACCUCGAAAGAGGGAGCCAAUCGCGAAACCCGUCCAUAGUUAGGAUUGAGGGCUGUAACUCGCCCUCAUGAAUUCUGGAUUCCGUAGUAAUCGCGGGUCAA